rnacentral:rRNA from 1 species
AUUCCAGCUCCAAUAGCGUAUAUUAAAGUUGUUGCGGUAAAAAAGCUCGUAGUUGGAUUUCUGUUGAGGACGACCGGUCCGUACCACGUACGCGCAUCUGGCUCGGCCUCGGCAUCCUCUCGAUAGACGUUUCUGCGCUUGAUUGCGUGGAGCGGAUUUCGGGACUUUUACUUUGAGGAAAUUAGAGUGUUCACGGCAGGCAACCGCCCGAAUACAUUAGCAUGGAAUAAUACUAUAGGAUCUCGAUUCUAUUUUGUUGGUUUCUAGGAUUGGGAUAAUGAUUGAUAGGGACAAUUGGGGGCAUUCGUAUCAACACGUCAGAGGUGGAAUUCUUGGAUUGUGUUGCGACGAACUACUGCGAAAGCAUUUGCCAAGGAUGUUUUCAUUA